rnacentral:tRNA from 1 species
GUUCUGGUAGCUUAAAAACCCAAAGCCCUGGUCUUGUAAACCAGAAAUGAGGAUUAUCCUCCCAAAACA